AAAAAAAAAACCCUAACUGUAAAUAUUAUUUGGAGGGUUGGCUGUACAUAUCCAUGUCAGUCACCGCGCCCGGCCCCACUUUCUUCUCAUUUCUAAGUGUACUUUUGUGGCAUUUAAACUGCCGAUGGUGACUUUGGUGUUGAGCGGUGUUGUUUCCACAGCCCACACUGAAGGCAUUGGGAGGGACCCAGGAGGGCACAAGGUGUUUUAAGGCCCUUUCCCACCUGCCAAACACCUUUUGCUGUUGCUUUUUGGUUUUAUUUUGUUUUGCGAAACCGGGGAAUAGUGACUUAAGGACUCGGCUUUCUGCCUUGUGCCAGAGAGCCACAGUACACUGCUUUUAUUUUUAUUUUUUGGUAAGACUUGGCUAUAGGAAGGACUGAGAAUAUAGCUUUCAUUUCUUUUAAAAAACAUUUCCUUUUCUUUUAAAUAGAUACGUGAUCAUUUAACACACGGGUGUUAAGUUCAUUCUUGCUGCAAAAGAAGGCCAUUGUACCUCCUGACCCUGAAAGCAAGGCGUUUCCAUUUGGAAGUUGUUGCCCAUAAUUUUGAGGCAAAUAUAGAGGAAAAGAUUACGGUCCUUAGUAUGAAUGACUUGUGAAGAGGCUAAUUUAGGGCUGCUUCUUUGGAGACAUUGGAGAUUUGAGGCUUGACAUCUACUGAGCUCAAGAAAAGAGAAUUUUCUGCUGGGAAGAACUAAAGCCAAAAGAAGAAAUUUUGGACCUAGAAAGAACAUGAGUCUAUGUUACAGAUGAAGUCACUGAGACACCAAAGGUUAAUUGCUUGCCCAAAGCCAUGUAGCAACUUGGUGAGUACCAGUAUUUAAAAUCUUACACUCUUGCUUCCUUAACAAUGGAACAAAGUUAUUGCUUGUAUCACAGGAGAUUGGUGUCAAUGAACAAUGGAGCAAAGGGGUCACAUAUUGCUUGUUUUAAAAUUGUAGACUCUUUCUCAUAUUAAUGGAGUCCUUUACUGUGUUUUCCAGGUUGAAGUUACUUUAGUGUCGAAAGCUCCACAUAUGUGCUUUUCGCAAAAUCAAUAGUCACCCCAUGCAAACGAAGAGAUGGUAAUUAGAGAUGGGACAGACCCCAACAUAUCCUUCAUUUGAAGAUAGAAUAAAUUCAGCAAGAUACCUAAUUAUUAUCAUCAUCUUUCACAAAAACAUAUGUGAUUUUUCCCCCCUACCCAAAUGUUUUAGUGAAAACUGCAACUGUGCAUUAAAAGGCAGUUUUGCAUGCAUAUAUUCAGAGAACAAUAUGGAGAAUCUAUCCCUUGGGAUAAAAAAAAAAACACCCAGCAACAACAAACUUGAAAACAGAUGGUUCUGAUACAGUCUGAUAAGAAUGUAAACAAGAAAAUCUUUGUUGACUUAUUUCAUAGUAAUCAGUAAUAAUUAGUUAUUGUCUAGAGGUGAGUUACAAAUUUCACAAGCAUGGCCACGAACAGCCUCUGAAAAGUGAAGCUAAAUUUGUGACAUCAGUGAGGAAUUACUGACCCCUGCUGAACCCUCCUUAUUAACAUUUUUCUUGAUUGACAUAAAGGAAUGAAACCCUGGAAGAGGAUAAUUUCUGCAUUCUUUGUUUUUUCUUUUGUCAUCAUUUG
rnacentral:lncRNA from 1 species